UACAGAGGGUGCGAGCGUUGUCCGGAAUCACUGGGCGUAAAGGGCGCGUAGGUGGCCUGAUAAGUAGGGGGUGAAAUCUCGUGGCUCAACUGCGAGGCUGCCUCCUAAACUGUCAGGCUCGAGCAGAGUAGAGGCAGGUGGAAUUCCCGGUGUAGCGGUGGAAUGCGUAGAGAUCGGGAAGAACAUCGGUGGCGAAGGCGGCCUGCUGGGCUCUUGCUGACACUGAGGCGCGACAGCGUGGGGAGCAAACAGG
rnacentral:rRNA from 1 species